rnacentral:rRNA from 1 species
AUUGAACGCUGGCGGCAGGCCUAACACAUGCAAGUCGAGCGAGCGGCGGACGGGUGAGUAAUGUAUGGGGACUGCCCGAUAGAGGGGGAUAACUACUGGAAACGGUGGCUAAUACCGCAUACUAUCGGAUAACCCAUCUGGGAUUAGCUAGUAGGUGGGGUAAAGGCUCCCCUAGGCGACGAUCUCUAGCUGGUCUGAGAGGAUGAUCAGCCCAACUGGGACUGGGACACGGCCCAGACUCCUACGGAGGCAGCAGUGGGGAAUAUUGCACAAAGGGCGCAAGCCUGAUGCAGCCAUGCCGCGUGGAUGAAGGAGGCCUUCGGGUUGUAAAGUACUUUCAGCUAGGAGGCGUUACUCGCAGGAGAAGCACCGGCUAACUCCGUGCCAGCAGCCGCGGUAAUACC